rnacentral:lncRNA from 1 species
CACUAUUCCCCCUCAUUUUUCAUGCUUUCUAGCCCCCAAAAAUUCUGAAAAAAUAUCAUCCAACCCCUCUUCCCCAAACCUAAAUCAAAACAAAAAAAAAAACCUUUCUCUCCUAAAAGUCACCACCAACAACUUUUUUCCAUUUUCAUAUUUUUUUUCCUCAAAAUUUCUCACUCUCUAACACUCAUAACUCAACCCCUUUACUAAGUUUUCAC